AUUCUUAGUGGCGGACGGGUUAGUAACACGUGAGAAUCCUACCCUUGAGUGGGGAAUAGCCUUUCGAAAGGAAGAUUAAUGCCCCAUAGUCUCUACGGAGUAAAGAUGCCUUCGGGUGUCGCUUAAGGAUGGGCUCGCGGCCUAUCAGCUAGUUGGUGAGGUAAGAGCUCACCAAGGCAACGACGGGUAGCUGGUCUGAGAGGACGAUCAGCAACACUGGAACUGAGACACGGUCCAGACACCUACGGGUGGCAGCAGUCGAGAAUCAUUCACAAUGGACGAAAGUCUGAUGGUGCAACGCCGCGUGGAGGAUGACGGCCCUAGGGUUGUAAACUCCUGUCAUCAGGGAGUAAGACUUAUUCGUUAAUAGCGUGUAAGUUUGAUAGUACCUGAAGAGGAAGGGACGGCUAACUUCGUGCCAGCAGCCGCGGUAAUACGAAGGUCCCAAGCGUUGUUCGGAAUAACUGGGCGUAAAGCGUGUGUAGGCCGCGCGGAAAGUCGGAUGUGAAAGCCCAAGGCUCAACCUUGGAACUGCAUCCGAUACUCCCGUGCUA
rnacentral:rRNA from 1 species